rnacentral:rRNA from 1 species
GAUGAACGCUAGCGGCAGGCCUAAUACAUGCAAGUCGAACGAUACCAAGGGGCUUGCUCCUUGGAAAAGUGGCGCGCGGGUGCGUAACGCGUAUGCAACCUACCUUUAUCAGGGGGAUAGCCCGGAGAAAUCCGGAUUAAUACCGCAUAAAAUCACAGGAUGGCAUUAUCCAAUGAUCAAACAUUUAUGGGAUAAAGAUGGGCAUGCGUGUCAUUAGCUAGUUGGCGGGGUAACGGCCCACCAAGGCGACGAUGACUAGGGGAUCUGAGAGGAUGUCCCCCCACACUGGUACUGAGACACGGACCAGACUCCUACGGGAGGCAGCAGUAAGGAAUAUUGGUCAAUGGGCGGAAGCCUGAACCAGCCAUGCCGCGUACAGGAAGACUGCCCUAUGGGUCGUAAACCGCUUUUAUCCAGGAAUAAAUCUACUUACGUGUAAGUAGCUGAAUGUACCGGAAGAAUAAGGAUCGGCUAACUCCGUGCCAGCCGCCGCCGUAA